rnacentral:rRNA from 1 species
UACGUAGGGUGCAAGCGUUGUCCGGAAUUAUUGGGCGUAAAGAGCUCGUAGGCGGUCUGUCACGUCGGCUGUGAAAACUCGAGGCUCAACCUCGAGACGCCGAUGGAAACCGUCUGGCUAGAGUCCGGAAGAGGAGAGUGGAAUUCCCGGUGUAGCGGUGAAAUGCGCAGAUAUCGGGAAGAACACCCGUGGCUAAGGCGGCUCUCUAGUACGGUACUGACGCUGAGACGCGAAAGCGUGGGGAGCGAACAGG